rfam:Tncultured Termite group 1 bacterium phylotype Rs-D17 DNA, complete genome.
GGGGAUGUGGUGUAGCCUGGUUAACACACUGCCCUGUCAAGGCAGAGAUCGCGGGUUCAAAUCCCGUCAUCCCCG